ACAGCAUCUGAAAGAAAAAUAAAGAGUAUGAAUUAGUAAAAUUGUUUAAAUGACAGGGUAGGGGCCUAUGUAAAGAAAAAUAUACUCAACUUUCAAUUUUCUUCUUCUGUACGCUUUCCCUACGGCAUCUGAAAGAAAAACAAAGAGUAUGAAUUAGUAAAAUAGUUUCAAUGACAGGGUAGGGGCCUAUGUAAAGAAAAAUAUAUACUCAACUUUCAAUUUUCUUCUUCUGUACGUGUUCCCCAAUCCGGCAUCUGAAAGAAAAACAAAGAGUGUGAAUUAGUAAAAUAGUUUCAAUGACAGGGUAGGGCCUAUGUAAAGAAAAAUAUACUCAACUUUCAAUUUUCUUCUUCUGUACGCUUCCCCUACAGCAUCUG
rnacentral:lncRNA from 1 species